GAUUCGUCACACUAUCAUUAACUGAAUCCAUAGGUUAAUGAGGCGAACCGGGGGAACUGAAACAUCUAAGUACCCCGAGGAAAAGAAAUCAACCGAGAUUCCCCCAGUAGCGGCGAGCGAACGGGGAGGAGCCCAGAGCCUGAAUCAGCAUGUGUGUUAGUGGAAGCGUCUGGAAAGGCGCGCGAUACAGGGUGACAGCCCCGUACACAAAAGCGCAUGUGCUGUGAGCUCGAUGAGUAGGGCGGGACACGUGGUAUCCUGUCUGAAUAUGGGGGGACCAUCCUCCAAGGCUAAAUACUCCUGACUGACCGAUAGUGAACCAGUACCGUGAGGGAAAGGCGAAAAGAACCCCGGCGAGGGGAGUGAAAAAGAACCUGAAACCGUGUACGUACAAGCAGUGGGAGCACCCUUCGGGGUGUGACUGCGUACCUUUUGUAUAAUGGGUCAGCGACUUAUAUUCUGUAGCAAGGUUAACCGUAUAGGGGAGCCGGAGGGAAACCGAGUCUUAACCGGGCGUUAAGUUGCAGGGUAUAGACCCGAAACCCGGUGAUCUAGCCAUGGGCAGGUUGAAGGUUGGGUAACACUAACUGGAGGACCGAACCGACUAAUGUUGAAAAAUUAGCGGAUGACCUGUGGCUGGGGGUGAAAGGCCAAUCAAACCGGGAGAUAGCUGGUUCUCCCCGAAAGCUAUUUAGGUAGCGCCUCGUGAAUUCAUCUCCGGGGGUAGAGCACUGUUUCGGCUAGGGGGCCAUCCCGGCUUACCAACCCGAUGCAAACUGCGAAUACCGGAGAAUGUUAUCACGGGAGACACACGGCGGGUGCUAACGUCCGUCGUGAAGAGGGAAACAACCCAGACCGCCAGCUAAGGUCCCAAAGUCAUGGUUAAGUGGGAAACGAUGUGGGAAGGCCCAGACAGCCAGGAUGUUGGCUUAGAAGCAGCCAUCAUUUAAAGAAAGCGUAAUAGCUCACUGGUCGAGUCGGCCUGCGCGGAAGAUGUAACGGGGCUAAACCAUGCACCGAAGCUGCGGCAGCGAACGUAUCACCCAAGACAACUUUACGGAGUUGACGAUUGACGGAGCGAAGCGACGUCAAAGCGUUCAUUAAAGUCGAGUUGGCUUAGGGAUACGUUCGUUGGGUAGGGGAGCGUUCUGUAAGCCUGUGAAGGUGUGUCGUGAGGCAUGCUGGAGGUAUCAGAAGUGCGAAUGCUGACAUAAGUAACGAUAAAGCGGGUGAAAAGCCCGCUCGCCGGAAGACCAAGGGUUCCUGUCCAACGUUAAUCGGGGCAGGGUGAGUCGACCCCUAAGGCGAGGCCGAAAGGCGUAGUCGAUGGGAAACGGGUUAAUAUUCCCGUACUUGGUGUUACUGCGAAGGGGGGACGGAGAAGGCUAUGUUGGCCGGGCGACGGUUGUCCCGGUUUAAGCGUGUAGGUGUGUGUUCCAGGUAAAUCCGGUUCACUUUAACACUGAGGCGUGACGACGAGGCACUACGGUGCUGAAGCAACAAAUGCCCUGCUUCCAGGAAAAGCCUCUAAGCAUCAGGUAACAUCAAAUCGUACCCCAAACCGACACAGGUGGUCAGGUAGAGAAUACCAAGGCGCUUGAGAGAACUCGGGUGAAGGAACUAGGCAAAAUGGUGCCGUAACUUCGGGAGAAGGCACGCUGACACGUAGGUGAAGUGAUUUACUCAUGGAGCUGAAGUCAGUCGAAGAUACCAGCUGGCUGCAACUGUUUAUUAAAAACACAGCACUGUGCAAACACGAAAGUGGACGUAUACGGUGUGACGCCUGCCCGGUGCCGGAAGGUUAAUUGAUGGGGUCAGCGCAAGCGAAGCUCCUGAUCGAAGCCCCGGUAAACGGCGGCCGUAACUAUAACGGUCCUAAGGUAGCGAAAUUCCUUGUCGGGUAAGUUCCGACCUGCACGAAUGGCGUAAUGAUGGCCAGGCUGUCUCCACCCGAGACUCAGUGAAAUUGAACUCGCUGUGAAGAUGCAGUGUACCCGCGGCAAGACGGAAAGACCCCGUGAACCUUUACUAUAGCUUGACACUGAACAUUGAGCCUUGAUGUGUAGGAUAGGUGGGAGGCUUUGAAGUGUGGACGCCAGUCUGCAUGGAGCCGACCUUGAAAUACCACCCUUUAAUGUUUGAUGUUCUAACGUGGACCCGUAAUCCGGGUUGCGGACAGUGUCUGGUGGGUAGUUUGACUGGGGCGGUCUCCUCCUAAAGAGUAACGGAGGAGCACGAAGGUUGGCUAAUCCUGGUCGGACAUCAGGAGGUUAGUGCAAUGGCAUAAGCCAGCUUGACUGCGAGCGUGACGGCGCGAGCAGGUGCGAAAGCAGGUCAUAGUGAUCCGGUGGUUCUGAAUGGAAGGGCCAUCGCUCAACGGAUAAAAGGUACUCCGGGGAUAACAGGCUGAUACCGCCCAAGAGUUCAUAUCGACGGCGGUGUUUGGCACCUCGAUGUCGGCUCAUCACAUCCUGGGGCUGAAGUAGGUCCCAAGGGUAUGGCUGUUCGCCAUUUAAAGUGGUACGCGAGCUGGGUUUAGAACGUCGUGAGACAGUUCGGUCCCUAUCUGCCGUGGGCGCUGGAGAACUGAGGGGGGCUGCUCCUAGUACGAGAGGACCGGAGUGGACGCAUCACUGGUGUUCGGGUUGUCAUGCCAAUGGCACUGCCCGGUAGCUAAAUGCGGAAGAGAUAAGUGCUGAAAGCAUCUAAGCACGAAACUUGCCCCGAGAUGAGUUCUCCCUGAGACUUAGAGUCUCCUGAAGGAACGUUGAAGACGACGACGUUGAUA
rnacentral:rRNA from 1 species